UCUUUGCUAGUAUAUCGGUUAGUACACGCGCCUGUCAUCUGUAGGAAGAUAAUCGUAACGCGCGAAAGCUGGGUUCGACUCCCAGGCAAAGAG